rnacentral:rRNA from 1 species
UACGUAGGGGGCAAGCGUUGUCCGGAUUUAUUGGGCGUAAAGAGCGUGUAGGCGGCUAGAUAGGUCCGUUGUGAAAACUCGAGGCUCAACCUCGAGACGUCGAUGGAAACCAUCUGGCUAGAGUCCGGAAGAGGGAGAGUGGAACUUCCGUGGUGUAGCGGUGAAAUGCGCAGAUAUCAGGAGGAACACCGAUGGCGAAGGCAGGUCUCUGGGCCACUACUGACGUGAGAAGCGAAAGCAUGGGGAGCGAACAGG